UUUGAUCCUGGCUCAGGACGAACGCUGGCGGCGUGCCUAAUACAUGCAAGUCGAACGAACUCUGGUAUUGAUUGGUGCUUGCAUCAUGAUUUACAUUUGAGUGAGUGGCGAACUGGUGAGUAACACGUGGGAAACCUGCCCAGAAGCGGGGGAUAACACCUGGAAACAGAUGCUAAUACCGCAUAACAACUUGGACCGCAUGGUCCGAGUUUGAAAGAUGGCUUCGGCUAUCACUUUUGGAUGGUCCCGCGGCGUAUUAGCUAGAUGGUGGGGUAACGGCUCACCAUGGCAAUGAUACGUAGCCGACCUGAGAGGGUAAUCGGCCACAUUGGGACUGAGACACGGCCCAAACUCCUACGGGAGGCAGCAGUAGGGAAUCUUCCACAAUGGACGAAAGUCUGAUGGAGCAACGCCGCGUGAGUGAAGAAGGGUUUCGGCUCGUAAAACUCUGUUGUUAAAGAAGAACAUAUCUGAGAGUAACUGUUCAGGUAUUGACGGUAUUUAACCAGAAAGCCACGGCUAACUACGUGCCAGCAGCCGCGGUAAUACGUAGGUGGCAAGCGUUGUCCGGAUUUAUUGGGCGUAAAGCGAGCGCAGGCGGUUUUUUAAGUCUGAUGUGAAAGCCUUCGGCUCAACCGAAGAAGUGCAUCGGAAACUGGGAAACUUGAGUGCAGAAGAGGACAGUGGAACUCCAUGUGUAGCGGUGAAAUGCGUAGAUAUAUGGAAGAACACCAGUGGCGAAGGCGGCUGUCUGGUCUGUAACUGACGCUGAGGCUCGAAAGUAUGGGUAGCAAACAGGAUUAGAUACCCUGGUAGUCCAUACCGUAAACGAUGAAUGCUAAGUGUUGGAGGGUUUCCGCCCUUCAGUGCUGCAGCUAACGCAUUAAGCAUUCCGCCUGGGGAGUACGGCCGCAAGGCUGAAACUCAAAGGAAUUGACGGGGGCCCGCACAAGCGGUGGAGCAUGUGGUUUAAUUCGAAGCUACGCGAAGAACCUUACCAGGUCUUGACAUACUAUGCAAAUCU
rnacentral:rRNA from 1 species